GAGUCGAGAAGUCACAGGGCUCUAUCCCAGAGGGGCUGUGGAGGACGGUGUGGAAGGGAGAACGAGAGCACUUGGAACACAGAUGCUAUGACUGAGAAGCAGCAGUCAUCUUGUAAACAUGAGGACUGGAACAUACUUGCUAUAGAUAGCAGAGAAAGAAGAGAAAAGUAGUCUGAGUCCUGUGUGGCAUGAUUGAGCCAUUCGACCAUUGCUGGAUGUCCUGUCUUGUUGUGGGAAAUAA